AUUAAUAACAAUGUACUCUUUUUUAAAGGUACUUAGCCAAUCUUAAAACAUUUGUGAGAAUUAGAGCUGAACCAUGAGGUUUUAUUGCCGAGGGUUAUAUUCUUGAGGAAACAAUUACCUUUUGCUCAAGAUAUUUAGAAUGCGUAGAAACACUCUUCAAUCGACCACGUCGCAACGAUGAUGAUAAUGAAAAUGCAUCUAAUUAUUUGUUCAAUGCUUGUGGUCAGCUAGUUGGGGAGGUGAAAAUGAUUAAACUUGAACCAUGAGAGCAAGAUGCAAAUACAUCGUUAUGUGCUAACACAAUUUCAAUAGUUACUUCAACUAUUUAAAAGAGAAUUCUUAUCUCAGAAGCAAAGGGAAAAUAAUAGAGUUACUGUUACUAAUGAUUUGGUGAUUAAAUGGAAGUUGGAGAGAUUGGUUAAAGUUGCAGGUUAAGUUGAAUAAAAGAGAACCUAGUAGGUUAGAAAUGUGGAAACGUACACACUACAAAGAAUGGUGGUUACGUAGAGGGUAAAUGCACUCAAGAAUUUAUGGUAUAUUGUAUUGAAUUGGAAACAUUUAUCAUUAUGACAACUGCAAUUGCAUAUUUCAUUUAUACUUUUGUAUUGUUAUAGGACAUUGCUGAAAGUAGGGUUGAUGAACGUUUAUGUGAUUCGAAACAACCUCGUGAGGUGAUUGAGACAGAAGUUUUUAAUGAGAUGAUGUAUAAAGAAGACAAACUUAAUCAGCAUGUUGUUGGUUAUGGUCAUGGGGUUACUAGAUCUCACGUGUUUGGUAUUGAAGCGCAAUUACGAAACAGCAAGAUGGGUGAUUGUGGUGGUACUUCAAGUGAUGUUAUGGGGCUUAAAUCCUACCUAUUGUCUGUUGAGAGAAAAAAUGAUAAGAUUAUAAGAAAAAAUAAUGAGGUUAUUUCCCAAUUACAAAAAAGAAAUGAUGAGGUUACUUCCCAACUUUUGAAAAAAAAGGAAGAAGUCGAAAAACUAAGAGCUCAAAAUAAAAAAAUUCUCACUCAACUUAAUCGUUUAUCUUCAUUCUUAGAUCAGUUACAACAAAAUCAAAGGACAAUUGGAUGAAGUAGAUAUGAUAAUGGGGCGUUUGGUAAGAUUUUUGUUACUAAUGUUCAUAUUAUGACCAACAAAUCAUCUUUUGCAAUGGUCUUGACACUAAAGUGAAAAUUGCAACAUAAUGAAAACAAUUCUGCAGGCCUUUGACUUCUGACAAACUUUUAGCUUUAUAGAUUUUGAUCUCUUUAAUAUCGACGAAUGUAUGUGUGUAUGUGAAUAUUCAAAUUAGGCAUUUGUGUUGGUUGGACUUUUCUGACCAAGCUACAAAAACUUAAGGUCAAAGCUACAUCGAUGAAUGUAUGUGCGUAUAUGAAUAUUCAAUUCUAAUACUUUUGUGGAUAUGAUUGAUUUGGUAUGAUAUUUGUUGGUAAUUAUGUGUGUUUGAUGAAUUUUAUAUAGUAUGGA